rnacentral:rRNA from 1 species
AAAUUGAAGAGUUUGAUCAUGGCUCAGAUUGAACGCUGGCGGCAGGCCUAACACAUGCAAGUCGAACGGUAACAGGAAGCAGCUUGCUGCUUCGCUGACGAGUGGCGGACGGGUGAGUAAUGUCUGGGAAACUGCCUGAUGGAGGGGGAUAACUACUGGAAACGGUAGCUAAUACCGCAUAAUGUCGCAGGACCAAAGAGGGGGACCUUCGGGCCUCUUGCCAUCAGAUGUGCCCAGAUGGGAUUAGCUUGUUGGUGAGGUAACGGCUCACCAAGGCGACGAUCCCUAGCUGGUCUGAGAGGAUGACCAG